UCGAAUCCCUCUCUUUC
rnacentral:tRNA from 1 species